rnacentral:rRNA from 1 species
GUGUAGCAAUACAUGGGCGACGACCGGCAAACGGGUGCGUAACACGUACGCAAUCUACCCAUUACAGGGGAAUAGCCCAGGGAAACUUGGAUUAAUACCCCAUAUUAUAUAGAAGUGGCAUCACUUUUAUAUCAAAGCUUCGGCGGUAAUGGAUGAGCGUGCGGUUGAUUAGAUAGUUGGCGGGGUAACGGCCCACCAAGUCUACGAUCAAUAGCUGAUGUGAGAGCAUGAUCAGCCACACGGGCACUGAGACACGGGCCCGACUCCUACGGGAGGCAGCAGUAAGGAAUAUUGGGCAAUGGACGCAAGUCUGGCCCAGCCAUGCCGCGUGAAGGAUGAAGGUCCUCUGGAUUGUAAACUUCUUUUAUCUGGGGCGAAAACAACUCUUUCUAGAGUUCUUGACAGUACCAGAGGAAUAAGCACCGGCUAACUCCGUGCCAGCAGCCGCGGUAAUACGGAGGGUGCAAGCGUUAUCCGGAUUCACUGGGUUUAAAGGGUGCGUAGGCGGGUUAGUAAGUCAGUGGUGAAAUCCCCGAGCUUAACUUGGGGACUGCCGUUGAUACUAUUAGUCUUGAAUAUCGUGGAGGUAAGCGGAAUAUGUCAUGUAGUGGUGAAAUGCUUAGAUAUGACAUAGAACACCAAUUGCGAAGGCAGUUUGCUACACGAUUAUUGACGCUGAGGCACGAAAGCGUGGGGAUCA